rnacentral:lncRNA from 1 species
GUGUGAUCGUUGAUAGUUUUCGGUAUCAGCGGUUAUCGGUUUUAGCUUGCAAUUAAAUAGAAAAAAAGUUAAAAUGAAAUAUUUAUAGUUGACUUAUGUAUAGUCCUCGGGUUUCACGCGAAUAUAAUCAUAGCUAGUGAUCCAGGAAAAAAAAUAUAAAAGAUCACAUCGAUAAUUGUACUAUAUGACAGGAACUGUAUAUUUUACGCUAUGUUCUUAUUAA